rnacentral:rRNA from 1 species
UGCAGCAGGCGCGAAACCUUUGCAAUAGGCUGAAAGCUUGACAGGGUUACUCUGAGUGAUUUCCGUUAAGGAGAUCUUUUGGCACCUCUAAAAAUGGUGCAGAAUAAGGGGUGGGCAAGUCUGGUGUCAGCCGCCGCGGUAAUACCAGCACCCCGAGUGGUCGGGACGUUUAUUGGGCCUAAAGCAUCCGUAGCCGGUUCCACAAGUCUUCCGUUAAAUCCACCUGCUUAACAGAUGGGCUGCGGAAGAUACUAUAGAGCUAGGAGGCGGGAGAGGCAAGCGGUACUCGAUGGGUAGGGGUAAAAUCCGUUGAUCCAUUGAAGACCACCUGUGGCGUAGGCGCCUCACCAGAACGGCUCCGACAGUGAGGGACGAAAGCUGGGGGAGCAAACCGGAUUAGAUACCCGGGUAGUCCCAGCCGUAAACGAUGCGCGUUAGGUGUAUCGAUGACCACGAGUCAUCGAGGUGCCGAAGGGAAACCGUGAAACGCGCCGCCUGGGAAGUACGGUCGCAAGGCUGAAACUUAAAGGAAUUGGCGGGGGA